AGUGGCAACACUCACCCAGGGCCGGAAAGUUGUUCAAACUUGGUCAUUUAGAGGAAGUAAAAGUCGUAACAAGGUUACCUUCUGCAGCAGAGCUACGGAGACCUUGCAACCCCUCACCGGGAGGCAGCGCGACUAUAAACAGAGCUGACCGUUUGCAAGUCGACUGAGAAGUCGGCAACACAAUCGAAUUGACGGGGACCUCCUAAAGCCUACAACACCAACCGUCCGGGGAAACUCGGUCGGGGCCCUCGCGGGGUGGUAAUAGAGUGUAGGAUGUUAAUGGACAAUCCGCAGCGAAGUCCCUACCGGCGAGAGCCCACGGGAAUCGUUCACAGACUAAGUGAUUGUGGGCUAGGCUGUGUGCCUGGUCUAAGAUAUAGUCGGCCCCCGCUCGAAAGGGCGGUGGAAUUCUGUGUCCGUAGGUGAACCUGCGGAAGGAUCAUUAAUAAACCAAGCGGGUCCUCUCGAAAUGAAUGGAUGUCUGAACCCUUGAAUACAAAACUUCGUUGCUUUGGCGGGCCGCCUUCGGGCGUCGGCCUCGGCUGACAGCGCCUGCCAGGGGACCAAAACUCUUAGUUCAGUGAUGUCUGAGUACUAUAUAAUAGUUAAAACUUUCAACAACGGAUCUCUUGGUUCUGGCAUCGAUGAAGAACGCAGCGAAAUGCGAUAAGUAAUGUGAAUUGCAGAAUUCAGUGAAUCAUCGAAUCUUUGAACGCACAUUGCGCCCCUUGGUAUUCCGAGGGGCAUGCCUGUUCGAGCGUCAUAUAAACACAUCCUGUAAAGGGGUCUUGGGGCUCGCCCUCUAGCGGCUCUUAAAAUCAGUGGCGGCGCCAUCUGGCUCUAAGCGUAGUAAUUAUCCUCGCUAUAGGGUUCCGGUGGAUGCUUGCCAGCAACCCCCCAUUUUCUACGUUUGACCUCGGAUCAGGUAGGGAUACCCGCUGAACUUAAGCAUAUCAAUAAGCGGAGGAAAAGAAACCAACAGGGAUUACCUCAGUAACGGCGAGUGAAGCGGUAACAGCUCAAAUUUGAAAUCUGGCUUCUUCGGAGCCCGAGUUGUAAUUUGUAGAAGAUGCUUUGGGCGUGGCUCCGGUCUAAGUCUCUUGGAACAGAGCGUCAUAGAGGGUGAGAAUCCCGUAUGUGACUGGGUGCCUUCGUCCGUGUAAAGCUCUUUCGACGAGUCGAGUUGUUUGGGAAUGCAGCUCAAAAUGGGUGGUAAAUUUCAUCUAAAGCUAAAUAUUGGCCAGAGACCGAUAGCGCACAAGUAGAGUGAUCGAAAGAUGAAAAGCACUUUGGAAAGAGAGUUAAACAGUACGUGAAAUUGUUGAAAGGGAAGCGCUUGCAACCAGACUUGCAUGUGGUUGAUCAUCCGAGGUUUUCCCCGGUGCACUCGAUCACGUUCAGGCCAGCAUCGGUUUGGGUGGUUGGAUAAAGGCCUUGGGAAUGUGGCUCCUCUCGGGGAGUGUUAUAGCCCUCGGUGCAAUGCAGCCUAUCCGGACCGAGGACCGCGCUUCGGCUAGGAUGCUGGCGUAAUGGUUGUAAGCGACCCGUCUUGAAACACGGACCAAGGAGUCUAACAUCUAUGCGAGUGUUUGGGUGUCAAACCCAUACGCGUAAUGAAAGUGAACGGAGGUGAGAACCCUUAAGGGUGCAUCAUCGACCGAUCCUGAUGUCUUCGGAUGGAUUUGAGUAAGAGCAUAGCUGUUGGGACCCGAAAGAUGGUGAACUAUGCCUGAAUAGGGUGAAGCCAGAGGAAACUCUGGUGGAGGCUCGCAGCGGUUCUGACGUGCAAAUCGAUCGUCAAAUUUGGGUAUAGGGGCG
rnacentral:rRNA from 1 species